AUUGAACGCUGGCGGCAGGCCUAACACAUGCAAGUCGAACGAGUGGCGGACGGGCGAGUAAUGUCUGGGAAACUGCCUGAUGGAGGGGGAUAACUACUGGAAACGGUAGCUAAUAGCGCAUACCAUCGGAUGUGCCCAGACGGGAUUAGCUAGUAGGUGGGGUAAAGGCUAACCUAGGCGACGAUCCCUAGCUGGCCUGCGAGGAUGACCAGACACACUGGAACUGAGACACGGUCCAGACUCCUACGGGAGGCAGCAGUGGGGAAUAUUGCACAAUGGGCGCAAGCCUGAUGCAGCCAUGCCGCGUGUAUGAAGAAGGCCUUCGGGGUGUAAAGUACUUUCAGCGGGGAGGCGUUACCCGCAGAAGAAGCACCGGCUAACUCCGUGCCAGCAGCCGCGGUAAUUC
rnacentral:rRNA from 1 species